CACACAGAGGUGUUAGAAAUUAUGAGUGUCUGGAAUGUGGCAAGAAAUUCACCACAAAGUCUAACCUCACCACACACACCCUGACACACAAUUUUGUUAGAAAUUAUGAGUGUCUGGAAUGUGGAAAAAGAUUUAUCACAAAGGGUAACCUCACCAAACACACCCUGACACACAGUGGUGUUAGAAAUUAUGAGUGUCUGGAAUGUGGCAAGAAAUUCACCACAAAGGGUGACCUCACCACACACACCCUGACACAUGGCGGCAUCAGGAAUCAUGAGUGUGAGGAGUGUGGCAAGAAAUUCUUCACCAUUGGUGCUCUCAACAAACAUGCCUUCAGACACACUGGCUUGAGGGAGUUCAAGUGUGAUGUUUGUGGCAAGUGUUUCAAGACUAAGGGUGACAUUGUCCGGCAUGUGAAGAUCCACUUUUGAGGUGGUGUGUUGUGUAGACUGGUGGGGCCACACCCAUGCCUGUGGGAGUGUGUGGUGGUGGUGGUGGUGGGCAGUGUAUUCCUUUCUUCUUUUUUCUCUUGAGUUGCCUCCUCCCAACCUUGGCCUGACCUUCCAGCCUUUGCUCCUCGGCACAGCCAGGUGAAGCACGCCUUCAGUUGGAACCGUCUCCCGAGGGUGUCACCAAGGCUCUCCAUCUCCAGCAGGACGUGGCAGGGGUCAAGAUGGCAGGCAAGCAAGACGUUGGUGUGUGUUGGAUGCCUGCGUGACUCCAUGCUACGCUGGCCUGCCACACCACAGGAUACAUUGAUGAUAGUGUCACCUCAGCAGACUCUACACUGUUAUCAUGUGUGGCAGUGCCUGUAAGGACAGCACACCCCUCCACCAACACCACUGCUGUGUGUGGAUACAUCUAUAUAUAGCAUCCCAUCCUAUCUCCUAUAUACCUGCCUUAUUUACACCUGCAGCUGUUUACCCCUCAUUUACCUACACCAAGUCAAUAAUACCUCAUACAGUAUCCGGAGAAAGACCACAACAAAAUCACUCCAGAAAAUUUAUUACAAAA